GGAUCAGGCAAAAGCAGGUCCUGAAGGCAGGAUCCUGAAGAUCAGGCACCACCUGACAGAAUUCUCAAGCACCUGACUCAUCACCUCUGCAGUGCAUCCCUUUCCAGAAGUCCACUCUCCUGAUUCACCACCAGUGGAAGUUUUAACAAUGGAAACACCAUCUGUGCAAGGUGUCCACAUUGCUAGCUGGGCGGUGAAUGAUUCAGCUCCAAAAUCCCAUUUGAUUGCCUGCUCUUUCCAGACACAACUGCAGCAAACUGGAUUGUCUAGACACAGAUGAUGAGACAGAGUUUAGGGUGCAAGAAGCUAACUAGGGAUCAACACCUGUGUAAGGAAGCAGGUGGAAGCACAAUUGAAGUUGAGAAAGAUGAAGAGGUUGAACUGCCCUGCAGGCCAGAUAGAGCCUUGCCAAACCAGUGGGGAACUCGGAGGAAGUCCUGCCUGCCAGUUUCCCAUGUGGAGCCGAAACAGUCGUGCUUUUAUCUCUCCACCUUGCUCAGUCACCAGAUGCAGGCCACGCCCAGAAGGGUAUGUUUUUCUCUGCAGCUCAGACUGAUGUUGAGGAGCUGGGAGCUGGAAGCCACCUGCUGACUGCACUCCCUGCAGCUGGUCAGCCCAUCCUUCUCGAGGGGCAUCUGAAUGGCAUCUUCAUCAGGUCUACAAUUUUAUGUACAUGCCACAUUCUGGGCUUUCCCACUUUGAAGCAAUUAUCAGUUAUGAAUGUUAGGAACACUUUGUACAAG
rnacentral:lncRNA from 10 species